CGUAUAUUAAAGUUGUUGCGGUUAAAAAGCUCGUAGUUGGUUCUGCGUGCCGCGCUGUCGGUUCGCCGCCUGUCGGUGUAACUGGCAUGUCGCGGCAUGUCCUGUCGGUGGUGAACGGAGUCCACAAUGCUACAUAGGCUUUAUAGCCGAUGUUAGCGUCGUGUGUACUUCCGUUGGCCGAUCUCUCCUACUUCGGUGCUCUUAAACGAGUGUCGAGGUAGGCCGACACGUUCACUUUGAACAAAUUAGAGUGCUUAAAGCAGGCUAAAAUCUCUGCCUGAAUAGUGGUGCAUGGAAUGAUAAAACAGGACCUCGGUUCUAUUUUGUUGGUUUUAGGAAUAUGAGGUAAUGAUCAAUGUGGACUGGCGGGGGCAUUCGUAUUGCGACGUUAGAGGUGAAAUUCUUGGAUCGUCGCAAGACGCACUAGAGCGAAAGCAUUUGCCAAGUAUGUCUUAAUUGAUCAAGAACGAAAGUUAGAGGUUCGAAGGCGAUCAGAUACCGCCCUAGUUCUAACCAUAAACGAUGCCAGCCAGCGAUCCGCCGAUGUUCCUUUAAUGACUCGGCGGGGAGCUUCCACCCGGGAAACCAAAGCUUUUGGGUUCCGGGGGAAGUAUGGUUGCAAAG
rnacentral:rRNA from 1 species